rnacentral:rRNA from 1 species
GACAGAGGGUGCAAACGUUGUUCGGAAUUACUGGGCGUAAAGCGUGUGUAGGCUGUUCCGAUAGUCGGAUGUGAAAGCCCUGGGCUCAACCUAGGAAGUGCAUUCGAUACUCCGGAGCUUGAGUCCUGGAGAGGAAGGCGGAAUUCUCGGUGUAGAGGUGAAAUUCGUAGAUAUCGAGAGGAACACCGGUGGCGAAGGCGGCCUUCUGGACAGUGACUGACGCUGAGACACGAAAGCGUGGGGAGCAAACAGG